rnacentral:rRNA from 1 species
UACGUAGGUGGCAAGCGUUGUCCGGAUUUACUGGGCGUAAAGCGCGUGUAGGCGGUCCGGUAAGUCCGCUGUGAAAGUCGGGGGCUCAACCCUCGAAUGCCGGUGGAUACUGUCGGGCUAGAGUGCGGAAGAGGCGAGUGGAAUUCCUGGUGUAGCGGUGAAAUACGCAGAUAUCAGGAGGAACACCAAUUGCGAAGGCAGCUCGCUGGGACGUUACUGACGCUGAGACGCGAAAGCGUGGGGAGCAAACAGG